UACGGGGGGGGCAAGCGUUGUUCGGAAUUACUGGGCGUAAAGGGCUCGUAGGCGGCCAACUAAGUCAUACGUGAAAUCCCUCGGCUUAACCGGGGAACUGCGUCUGAUACUGGAUGGCUUGAGAGUGGGAGAGGGAUGCGGAAUUCCAGGUGUAGCGGUGAAAUGCGUAGAUAUCUGGAGGAACACCGGUGGCGAAGGCGGCAUCCUGGACCAACACUGACGCUGAGGAGCGAAAGCCAGGGGAGCAAACGGG
rnacentral:rRNA from 1 species